rnacentral:rRNA from 1 species
CACCGCGGUUAUACGAGAGGCCCAAGUUGAUCGCCAACGGCGUAAAGGGUGGUUAAGGAACAAGAAAAAUAAAGUCGAACGCCCUCAGGGCCGUCAUACGCUUCCGAGGGUAAGAAGCCCCACUACGAAAGUGACUUUAGACAACCUGACCCCACGAAAGCUGCGAAACAAACUGGGAUUAGAUACCCCACUAUGCCCAGCCCUAAACUUUGAUGAUAAGACACAUAUAUCAUCCGCCCGGGUACUACGAGCAUUAGCUUGAAACCCAAAGGACUUGGCGGUGCUUUAGAUCCACCUAGAGGAGCCUGUUCUAGAACCGAUAACCCCCGUUAAACCUCACCCUCCCUUGUUUUUCCCGCCUAUAUACCGCCGUCGUCAGCUCACCCUGUGAAGGUCUUAUAGUAAGCAAAAUCAGUAGAACUCAAAACGCCAGGUCGAGGUGUAGCAAAUGAGAGGGGAAGAAAUGGGCUACAUUUCCUGACCCAGGAAAUCACGGACAGGGCCAUGAAAUUGGGCCUUGGAAGGAGGAUUUAGCAGUAAGCAGGGAAUAGAGAGCCCUGCUGAAACCGGCCCUGAAGCGCGCACACACCGCCCGUCACUCUCCCCAAGCCACCAAUAACCACUAGAUAAAAUGCUUAACAGGCAAAGGGGAGGCAAGUCGUAACAUGGUAAGUG